UUGCCUGACUGCACCCAAAACACACACACACCUGGGUUGGCGAAGGUGGUUGGGAGGUACUUCUUAAUUGAUAGAUUUACCCUUCAAUGAAGAGAUGAGUGUGGUGUUGGUGUUGGGUUCUGGUGGUAGGGAGGAUGCUCUAGCUGCUGCCCUGGCUGCCUCUCCUGCAGUGUCAUCUGUCCUCAUUGCCCUGGGUAAUGCUGGCACUUAAACCACUCCCAAUGCCACCAACAUUUCCCUCAACAUCAAGGAUCACCAAGCAGUUGUUGGUGUAUGCAAUGAUUGUAAAGUCAGUGUGGUGGUCAUAGGGCCAGAGGACCCUCUGGCAGAUGGUCUGGCCAACUCACUUACUGCUACAGGAAUUAAGGUUAGGCUUAAGUUUAGGAAGCUAAAUACUAAGCAAAUUCUUUAUAAUCCAU